rnacentral:rRNA from 1 species
AGUGAACGCUGGCGGUAGGCCUAACACAUGCAAGUCGAACGGCAGCACAGGAGAGCUUGCUCUCUGGGUGGCGAGUGGCGGACGGGUGAGGAAUACAUCGGAAUCUACUUUUUCGUGGGGGAUAACGUAGGGAAACUUACGCUAAUACCGCAUACGACCUACGGGUGAAAGCAGGGGAUCUUCGGACCUUGCGCGAUUGAAUGAGCCGAUGUCGGAUUAGCUAGUUGGCGGGGUAAAGGCCCACCAAGGCGACGAUCCGUAGCUGGUCUGAGAGGAUGAUCAGCCACACUGGAACUGAGACACGGUCCAGACUCCUACGGGAGGCAGCAGUGGGGAAUAUUGGACAAUGGGCGCAAGCCUGAUCCAGCCAUACCGCGUGGGUGAAGAAGGCCUUCGGGUUGUAAAGCCCUUUUGUUGGGAAGGAAAUCCAGCUGGUUAAUACCCGGUUGGAAUGACGGUACCCAAAGAAUAAGCACCGGCUAACUUCGUGCCAGCAGCCGCCGUAA